rnacentral:rRNA from 1 species
AUUGAACGCUGGCGGCAGGCCUAACACAUGCAAGUCGAGCGGGAACUUCGGUUCUAGCGGCGGACGGGUGAGUAAUGCCUAGGAAUCUGCCUAGUGGUGGGGAUAACGUUCGGAAACGGACGCUAAUACCGCAUACGUCCUACGGGAGAAAGCGGGGGAUCUUCGGACCUCGCGCCAUUAGAUGAGCCUAGGUCGGAUUAGCUAGUUGGUGAGGUAAUGGCUCACCAAGGCGACCGAUCCGUAACUGGUCUGAGAGGAUGAUCAGUCACACUGGAACUGAGACA